CGAGGAAUCUUGGGCAAUGGGCGAAAGCCUGACCCAGCAACGCCGCGUGGGGGAUGAAGGCCUUCGGGUCGUAAACCCCUUUUGUCGGGGAAGAUAAUGACGGUACCCGACGAAUAAGUCUCGGCUAACUACGUGCCAGCAGCCGCGGUAAUACGUAGGAGGCGAGCGUUGUCCGGAUUUAUUGGGCGUAAAGAGCGCGUAGGCGGCUAGUUAAGUCUGGUGUGAAAUCUCCCGGCCCAACUGGGAGGGGACAUCGGAUACUGGUUAGCUUGAGUGCGGCAGAGGGAUGUAGAAUUCCCGGUGUAGUGGUGAAAUGCGUAGAUAUCGGGAGGAAUACCAGUGGCGAAGGCGGCAUCCUGGGCCGUAACUGACGCUGAGGCGCGAAAGCGUGGGGAGCGAACCGG
rnacentral:rRNA from 1 species